UCUGAACCAAUCCAAGCAUUGGUAGAAUUUUAAUUCUUUUACCAAUCAAAAUAACGAUAUUGUCAAACAAAUAUAGCCAUCAUAAUUUCAAUUUUCCCAUAAAUUAAUUCAAUUAUAUUAAGAGAAUAAGAGAAACCUCGCAUACCUUCACUUUCAUAGUAUAAAUUGGGGAGUGGUGUGAAGAUAUGUAGAUACAAUACAAGACGACCAUGAGAAGGUGCAGACAUUACAUUACAUUACAUAACAUAACCUCUUCUUCUUCUUCUUCUAAGUCUAACAUUAUUGAGCAACAGAGCUUGGUUAGCGAGAGAUAGUGCCAAGUGUUGAAAGAUGUCAUUUCUUUCUUUCUUUCUGGCAACGAAGUCAGUUUCUUUCACAGUUUUGUAGUGGUUUUGAGCGAGAGCGAGAAAACCUUCUUUCUGAGCUGUUUCUAUGUCCCAAUUGGAAUCCACCAGAGCCGCUUUCACUUGUUCUUUCUCUCAAUUGCUUUAUCAGAUUCAUUUAUUUCGACGACGACGAAAAUGAUGCCCCGCUCAACAGCCUCAUGUAAACACGUCUGUCUACCAGCGGAGCCUCUGUCUCUGCGCUCGCUCACACUCCCAAUCUGUCCGUGUGUGCGUGCGGAGAAG
rnacentral:lncRNA from 1 species